rnacentral:rRNA from 1 species
GAUGAACGCUGGCGGCGUGCUUAACACAUGCAAGUCGAGCGAAGCAGUUAAGAAGAUUCUUCGGAUGAAACUUGAUUGACUGAGCGGCGGACGGGUGAGUAACGCGUGGGUGACCUGCCCCAUACCGGGGGAUAACAGCUGGAAACGGCUGCUAAUACCGCAUAAGCGCACAGAGCUGCAUGGCUCAGUGUGAAAAACUCCGGUGGUAUGGGAUGGGCCCGCGUCUGAUUAGGCAGUUGGCGGGGUAACGGCCCACCAAACCGACGAUCAGUAGCCGGCCUGAGAGGGCGACCGGCCACAUUGGGACUGAGACACGGCCCAAACUCCUACGGGAGGCAGCAGUGGGGAAUAUUGCACAAUGGGGGAAACCCUGAUGCAGCGACGCCGCGUGAGCGAAGAAGUAUUUCGGUAUGUAAAGCUCUAUCAGCAGGGAAGAUAAUGACGGUACCUGACUAAGAAGCCCCGGCUAACUACGUGCCAGCAGCCGCGGUAAUACGUAGGGGGCAAGCGUUAUCCGGAUUUACUGGGUGUAAAGGGAGCGUAGACGGCAAGGCAAGUCUGAUGUGAAAACCCAGGGCUUAACCCUGGGACUGCAUUGGAAACUGUCUGGCUCGAGUGCCGGAGAGGUAAGCGGAAUUCCUAGUGUAGCGGUGAAAUGCGUAGAUAUUAGGAAGAACACCAGUGGCGAAGGCGGCUUACUGG